AUUGAACGCUGGCGGCGUGCUUAACACAUGCAAGUCGAUCGGUAACGCGGGGGCAACCCUGGCGACGAGAGGCGGACGGGUGAGGAACGCUUGGGAAUCUGCCCUUCAGCGGGGGACAACACGGGGAAACUCGUGCUAAUACCGCAUACGCUCCACGGAGGAAAGCCGGGGACCGCAAGGCCUGGCACUGAAGGAUGAGCCCAAGUCGGAUUAGCUAGUUGGCGGGGUAACGGCCCACCAAGGCGAGGAUCCGUAGCUGGUCUGAGAGGACGGUCAGCGACACUGGGACUGGGACACGGCCCAGACUCCUACGGGAGGCAGCAGUGGGGAAUAUUGGACAAUGGGGGAAACCCUGAUCCAGCGACGCCGCGUGGGUGAAGAAGGCCUGCGGGUUGUAAAGCCCUUUCGGUAGGGACGAAAGCUCUCGACCUAACACGUCGGGAGGUUGACUUAACCUACAAAAGAAGCACCGGCUAACUCUGUGCCAGCAGCCGCGGUAAAAC
rnacentral:rRNA from 1 species